UAUUAAUGUAUUUCAUGAGCUUCUUCAGUAAAUCUGUAUUUCUAAGUCAGUAUCUCCCUUCAGAAAUGUUGCUGAAGGGAGAUACUGACUUAGAAAUACAGGUGAACUCAUGAAAAUAAGCUCAUGAAAUACUCAUGAAAGAAGCUCAUGAAAUACAUUAAUAUGCCUUUUUCAGAAUAUAUUUCACCAAUUUUAAGGAGUCCCUGACAUCAAAACAUGGCUUGUUUUGUUCCUGGACUCUUCAGUGAUGAUGAGCAGAGUCUGAGUGAACCUGCUGUCAGACAAUCACUAUUGCACACCAAAUGCUCUUACUCAGCAGAUGGGGACAGCUACCAUCACCCAAUUUUCACCCAAAAGUGGCUGCGCUAUUCGCCAGACUGGGCAGGAGGGACUGGACGACAACUUAUGCAGGCAUCAGAUGACAAUGAAGUGUAAAUAAAGAGUAGAGGCUAAUAAACAGGAAUUUGAUUUUAAAUA